rnacentral:rRNA from 1 species
GUGGGGAAUUUUGGACAAUGGGCGCAAGCCUGAUCCAGCAAUGCCGCGUGCAGGAAGAAGGCCUUCGGGUUGUAAACUGCUUUUGUACGGAACGAAACGGUCCGGGUUAAUACCCUGGGCUAAUGACGGUACCGUAAGAAUAAGCACCGGCUAACUACGUGCCAGCAGCCGCGGUAAUACGUAGGGUGCAAGCGUUAAUCGGAAUUACUGGGCGUAAAGCGUGCGCAGGCGGUUUUGUAAGACAGGCGUGAAAUCCCCGGGGUCAACCUGGGAAUUGCGCUUGUGACUGCAAGGCUGGAGUGCGGCAGAGGGGGAUGGAAUUCCGCGUGUAGCAGUGAAAUGCGUAGAUAUGCGGAGGAACACCGAUGGCGAAGGCAAUCCCCUGGGCCUGCACUGACGCUCAUGCACGAAAGCGUGGGGAGCAAACAGGAUUAGAAACCCGAGUAGUCC